CCCCUCUCAGGUUUGCAUCUGGAGAGUGUCCAGAUUUACACUCUACCAGUCUCGAAUACGGGAGGGAGAGUCAAGCAGAGGCAUACCCAUUCCAUUCCUAGCUUGGGCAGUGGCUAGUGAAUUGAAGGCCAUCUGCUACAAGU